AGAGUUUGAUCCUGGCUCAGGACGAACGCUGGCGGCGUGCCUAACACAUGCAAGUCGAGCGGAGAUAUAUGGAGCUUGCUUUAUAUAACUUAGCAGCGAACGGGUGAGUAACACGUAGAUAAUCUAUCCUAUACUGGGGGAUAGCCCGAUGAAAGUUGGAUUAAUACCGCAUAUAGCUAUAUAGUUGCAUGAUUAUGUAGUGAAAGAUUUAUUGGUAUAGGAGGAGUCUGCGGCACAUUAGCUAGUAGGUGAGGUAAAGGCUUACCUAGGCGACGAUGUGUAGCCGGUCUGAGAGGAUGAACGGCCACAAUGGAACUGAGACACGGUCCAUACUCCUACGGGAGGCAGCAGUGGGGAAUAUUGCACAAUGGGGGAAACCCUGAUGCAGCAACGCCGCGUGAGUGAAGAAGGUUUUCGGAUUGUAAAGCUCUGUUAGCAGGGAAGAGGAAGGACGGUACCUGCAGAGGAAGCCACGGCUAACUACGUGCCAGCAGCCGCGGU
rnacentral:rRNA from 1 species